rnacentral:rRNA from 1 species
UACAGAGGUCUCAAGCGUUGUUCGGAUUCAUUGGGCGUAAAGGGUGCGUAGGUGGCGCUGUAAGUCGGGUGUGAAAUUUCGGAGCUUAACUCCGAAACUGCAUUCGAUACUGCGGUGCUUGAGGACUGGAGAGGAGACUGGAAUUUAUGGUGUAGCAGUGAAAUGCGUAGAGAUCAUAAGGAAGACCAGUAGCGAAGGCGGCUCGCUGGGCCGUUCCUGACGCUGAGGUGCGAAAGCGUGGGGAGCAAACAGGG